rnacentral:rRNA from 1 species
GGCGAACGGGUGAGUAACACGUGGGUGAUCUGCCCUGCACUUCGGGAUAAGCCUGGGAAACUGGGUCUAAUACCGGAUAGGAGCCAUUUUCAGUGUGAUGGUUGGAAAGUUUUUUCGGUGUAGGAUGAGCUCGCGGCCUAUCAGCUUGUUGGUGGGGUAAUGGCCUACCAGGGCGGCGACGGGUAGCCGGCCUGAGAGGGUGGACGGCCACAUUGGGACUGAGAUACGGCCCAG